rnacentral:rRNA from 1 species
GAUAGCUAAUACCGCAUAAAAUUGAUUAUUGCAUGAUAAUUAAUUGAAAGAUGCAAUUGCAUCACUACCAGAUGGACCUGCGUUGUAUUAGCUAGUUGGUGAGGUAACGGCUCACCAAGGCGACGAUACAUAGCCGACCUGAGAGGGUGAUCGGCCACACUGGGACUGAGACACGGCCCAGACUUCCUACGGGAGGCAGCAGUAGGGAAUCUUCGGCAAUGGGGGGAACCCUGACCGAGCAACGCCGCGUGAGUGAAGAAGGUUUUCGGAUCGUAAAGCUCUGUUGUAAGAGAAGAACGGGCUGAGAGUGGAAA